rnacentral:rRNA from 1 species
UAGGGAAUCUUCGGCAAUGGACGAAAGUCUGACCGAGCAACGCCGCGUGAGUGAAGAAGGUUUUCGGAUCGUAAAACUCUGUUGUUAGAGAAGAACAAGGACGUUAGUAACUGAACGUCCCCUGACGGUAUCUAACCAGAAAGCCACGGCUAACUACGUGCCAGCAGCCGCGGUAAUACGUAGGUGGCAAGCGUUGUCCGGAUUUAUUGGGCGUAAAGCGAGCGCAGGCGGUUUCUUAAGUCUGAUGUGAAAGCCCCCGGCUCAACCGGGGAGGGUCAUUGGAAACUGGGAGACUGGAGUGCAGAAGAGGAGAGUGGAAUUCCAUGUGUAGCGGUGAAAUGCGUGGAUAUAUGGAGGAACACCAGUGGCGAAGGCGGCUCGCUGGUCUGUAGCUGACGCUGAGGCUCGAAAGCGUGGGGAGCAAACAGG